AGCGCGCCCCGACUUGAACGGAGCUCUUUUUCUGUCAUUGCGAGUGCCAAAAUUUCUUUUGAUCGCUUCGCGCCAUUCGCAAUGGCAGAAAAAAGCGGGAGUGGAAGGCGGAUAAAGGC
rnacentral:misc_RNA from 1 species